rnacentral:rRNA from 1 species
CCUACGGGAGGCAGCAGUGGGGAAUAUUGCACAAUGGGGGAAACCCUGAUGCAGCGACGCCGCGUGAGAGAAGAAGGAGUGCGGUAGGUAAAGCUCUAUCAGCAGGGAAGAAAAUGACGGUACCUGAGGAAGAAGCUCCGGCUAAAGACGUGCCCGCAGCCGCGGUAAUACGGAUGGAGCAAGCGUUAUCCGGAUUUACUGGGCGUAAAGGGAGCGUAGGCGGCCGGCCAAGUCUGAUGUGAAAUACCGGGGCUCAACCCCGGGGCGGCAUUGGAAACGGGCAGGCUGGAGUGCCGGAGAGGCAGGCGGCAUUCCUAGUGUAGCGGUGUCAUGC